rnacentral:rRNA from 1 species
UAACAGAGGUCCCGAGCGUUGUUCGGAUUCAUUGGGCGUAAAGGGUGCGUAGGCGGCUGGGUAAGUUUGAUGUGAAAUCCUGGGGCUCAACCCUGGAACUGCAUUGAAUACUGCUCGGCUAGAGUACUGGAGAGGAAACUGGAAUUCACGGGUGUAGCAGUGAAAUGCGUAGAUAUCGUGAGGAAGACCAGUGGCGAAGGCGAGUUCUGGACAGUUACUGACGUGAGCACGAAGGCUAGGGGAGCAAACGGG